ensembl:lncRNA
GUGCAUUCCAGUUUAUUUUAUAUCAAAUUCCCCCUUAAUCAAACUUUGAUGUACAAAUUAAACCUUGAGUCUUAACAUGCAAUACAGAAUCCUGCGAUGGCAGAAGUGAAUCUUCAAAUGACAGUAAAAACCCGUAUAGAUGCCGAUCCCAACCCACACACUUCCCAUAUCCCUCCCUUCAUCCCCGGAUUAAAACAGGAUCCGAUUGUUUUUUGAUCAAGUUUGUCAACUUUGUAAAGUGGUUGUGGUUGUCGAGGGCAGAGGGCAAACCUAGAGGAAGAGGAGAGAUUUGGGGUAAAUGUGACAAUGUAUGUAUGGUUGGCACAGACUACAUGCAGCUCCAUCUGUUUGCAUUAAAUCAGAGAGAGGGCAUGUUUCUAUGACAGUAAGUGCUCAUGACAAAAAUCACAGCAAGAAAAACAGAAAAAUAACAGAUUUUUCACAGAAUAAGACGGUUGUUUCUUCGCCACUUCUUAAUGCCACACAUGCAAACAUGCCAGAAAGCACAAUGACAUUCACUUCUAUGGAGGACAUGGGCGUGGAGUGAGCGAGAGGGUGCAAAAGUGUCUGACAUCUCCUUAGGCUCGGAGAUAUCACAGUAAGAAGCAGAGAAAACCCAAACCAUAAUGCAUGACUGCUUUAUAGGUCCUCAUAUUGUAAACACUGACCUGUUAAAGCUGAGCAAAAUCAAUUCAUAUAUUUCAUAAAAUAAGGGUGAGGGUUUUAAAGGGGAACCAUGGAACUUUGAUAUAUAUGGUAAAAAUGUGAUGGCCUCUUCUGGAAGUUGUAAGAUUUAAAUUAUUUGCUUUUGAAUAGUUAGUUUAGUUCUGGUUUAGCUUUAGUCAAGACUUAAUUUAGUCCUUGUCAACAAUGGUCACAAAUGCUAAGUCUGAAAAUCAUCACAGCUGAUAAACUUAAAGACGCCGUAGAAGUAGUAGUAUGAAGUAGUAUUUUGGCUGAUAUCCUUAACCUUAAAAUGAGAUAAAUUAACAGAUGAGCUAAGCAAAGUUGCAUGGUUCCCCUUCAAUUUUACAGCGAUAGAGAAAGAAGCAGCAUUGUAUUACCAUUACCAAACCCUGUCCUAACAUCUAACCCUGUUUUUUGAUAGGGUACCGCCUACACCCCUGUCCCAUACACACAGUGAGUUCAAGAAUCCUACAAUCCUUUGUCACAACACAUGUUACUAAGAUCCCUGUUUCGACUAAUUGAUGAUAAUACAGAGACAGUGGUGGUUUGGAGCAAAAAGAGGCGGUAUAUUUCGGGAGGUUAAGGCACUUGAAGACUCCCGACUGGCUCGAAAAGUUGUUCAGGAAAUCUGGCUACAUGUGGCUCCUCUACGUGUGUGUGUGUGUGUGUAUAUGUGGCAAAAUGAAAAGGUUUAAAAAAAAACAAAAAAAACAACUCAAAUUCAGAGAAAGCAGAGGUAAUUGUAAAGCGAUGUGGAUGAAGUGAUUGCAUGUAUGUCUUUAAAUGUGCAAGAUUUUAACAAGUGUUGAGUGUAUAUAACCUUGGCACCUAAAAAAAUAAAACAGGCAGCUGAUCUGUUGCACUUUGCAAUCAGCUAUUCUUGCAUAAGGCUCAUGUCUCUAAACUCCUUCAAGAGAGAAAAGAGAUUGGCAACGAAAAUAAUAAAACACAGCACUAAAAACCAACUCGAAAAGAAGGCCAGUCAGCAAAAAGUACCCAAAUUGCUGACCACCGGGGCACUGCUAUGGUAUAGGGAGAGGCCAGUGCCCCAAAACUAGCCGAAGUCAAGAGUCAAGCCACACAGGCAAACUGGCUGGCUAUCAGGGCUUCAAUGAGUGUGGAUUGUGGCACUGAAAUGAAUUGAUCAUAAAAGCAAAAAAAGAAGACCAUAUAACAUAAUAGGAAGCUCUUGAGGAACUGACCAGUGCUGCACCAUAUUCUGGGUCGGAGCGUAAAGUGCGUAUACAUAAGCCUACCCCAGUCCCAAGUGCUCACGUGUUUUGGAGGUAUAUCCUGUACAAGUGCACCUAAGAAGUCAAUGUCAGGUUCCUCUCGAGCGGCUAACGUGAAGAGAGUUGUAUGGCUGUGUGAGGAAGAGC